CGCUGCGCCUGAAUCAGCUGCAGAGCAUAUUGAAAAAUCCACGUCCUUUCUCCGAACGCGGCGCCAUCAACAUAGGAACUUGAUUCUUGCCCCCAUCGAGUGAACCCAAACGCUUUUCAAAUACCCAAACAAAUGUGUCGUUCGAA